AGAAGGAUUGUGCCCAGAGCCACAAUGACAGAGCAAGAUGGCAAGUGUCUGGGCUGCUUUUGGUGCAAAGCAUUAAAUGCCGGUGUGUGAAACAGACUUGCUUAACCACAAAAUCUACUUCAACAUUUUAUUAACCCAUUUUAGCAUGGGUUUAUUCACAGAGAACUUCAUCCUAUGACAUUAAGUCAUAGGCAUUUUUACCCAUUACUAGCUUAUCAAGCUUAUGAAGAGCCAUGGUUUCCCUGCGCUACAAAUACAAAGACUCAGAUUUUGAUUACAGGGUCAGGUUUUGCCUGGCAUCUGUGCUUUUGUAGAAGGUUUUCUAAGGGAUUUGUUUGCUGUGCACACAAAAUGGCUGGGGGGGUUCAGAUGGAGAGCCCAGGUCACAUUGGCCCUAAUGCAGCACAUCCAUGGAGUUGGGCACGUGUUCCUUUUGGUCUAACACAGCAUAAAACUUCCCUUGAAAACUCCUGGAGCUUUCCUUCUUGGGUUGGGGAGGUUUCUCCAGAUCCGUUUACUUUAUAAAAACACAUGUGUAGAAAGGGUAUAUAAUGACUAACUGAGCAGCAGUAAAGUUCAGUGCAAUAAAAACUGAAAUAUUGCCAGUUUCAGAGAGAGUUCAGGGCAACCACCCCCAGCCCAGCUCUAGUAACGACGGAAAUCAUUCCGUGGCCCUUUGCUGCUGCUUUGGCUCUUGGCAGGUUAUUUGAUGAUAAAAUCGGUCAUGGUGCAGCUUUUUGCCCACCACACGGCACUCAGUGGCUGAUUAGCCAUCGUCCUUUCGAAGCUAAUAGCAAAAUUAAGAGGAAUGCUUCUUGUUUCUGUUUUGUUUAUUGCCGUUCACUGCAGCCCUACACCCGCUGACCGGGUCACUCUGGAGGGGCUGGGAGCCCCAGCCAAGCUGCCCUGCUUUUGGGGGAAAGGCCUGGCAGCGGCAGGACAGAUUCUGCAAUGCGAAUUCCUGUCAUUUCGAUCAAACCGUUGCUCGCGAGGACGGCACGCGGCUGAACUGUAAGCGCUGCGCCGUGCCGCGUCUCUACGUUAAACCCCCGCUGCCCGAGCCCAGGAGCAGCCAGCAGGGCUUCCGGGGGGGCGCGCUGCCCCUUUAAGGCUGCCCGGGGCCGGGAGCGGCGCCAUAACAACGGCUUGACGGCCGUGACCGGAAGUGAUUGGGGGUCAGAGGUCGCCGCUGGCAGCGGGAAUAUGGCGGCCGUGGCCAUGGCGGCGCUGGGCGCUGUUGUGGCCGCGCUCGGCGGGGCGGCGGUUCCGUGAGCGAGGCGGGAGCCUCCCGCCGCUGCGCUGCCCCUUUUCAGAGCCAUGGUGUCAUGGAAAGGAAUAUACUUCGUAGUUGCACUGUUUUUGGGAAGUUUUUUUGGAAGUAUUUUCAUGCUCGGUCCUUUUCUACCUUUGAUGUUUAUCUCCCCGGCCUGGUAUCGCUGGAUCACUGACCGCGUUGUGGCCACGUGGCUCACACUGCCAGUGGCUUUGCUGGAGAUGGUGUUUGGUGCCAAGGUGGUUGUCACUGGUGAUGGAUUUGUUCCUGGAGAAAGAAGUGUCAUUAUCAUGAACCAUCGCACACGAAUGGACUGGAUGUUCCUGUGGAACUGCCUGCUGCGAUACAGCUACCUCAGACUUGAAAAAAUCUGUCUCAAAUCCAGUCUCAAAAGCAUUCCAGGAUUUGGCUGGGCGAUGCAGGUUGCUGCCUUUAUUUUCAUUCAGAGAAAAUGGGAAGAUGACAAGAGUCACUUUGAAAAAAUGCUGCAUUAUUUCUGUGACAUUCAUGAGCCACUACAACUCCUCAUCUUUCCGGAAGGAACUGAUCUCACAGCCAAUACCAAAGCUCGCAGUAAUGACUUUGCUGAAAAGAAUGGACUUCGAAAAUAUGAGUAUGUCUUACAUCCACGGACUACAGGAUUCACUUUUGUGGUGGAAUGUCUAAGGGAAGGUAACAAUCUUGAUGCUAUCCAUGACAUAACUGUGGCAUACCCCCAAAACAUUCCUCAGACGGAGAAGCACCUUUUGAAUGGAAACUUCCCAAAGGAGAUUCACUUCCAUGUCCAGAGAUACCCCGUAGAGACAGUGCCCACUUCUAAGGAGGAGUUGCAGCUUUGGUGCCAGAAGCGUUGGGAAGAGAAAGAGGAGAGACUUCGGCGCUUCUAUGAAGGUGGAAAGUGCUUUGAUGAGACGGGGCAAAGCAUUAUUCCCCCGUGUAAAUCUGAGCUCAGGGUCCUCGCAGUCAAGUGCAUCUCACUCCUGUAUUGGACGGUGUUCCCAAUGGGUACGUUUGCACUGCUGUACCUGUACAGCUUUGCACGAUGGUAUUUUGCAACCAUGAUAGUCAUCUUUGUUGUGCAGCAAAAGAUAUUUGGUGGGCUGGAACUAAUUGAACUUGCUUGUCAUCAAUAUUUUAAAAAGCAACAGAAACUUAACGACGCAAAAAUUAAAAGGAAGUAGUUCUUGCGUAAGGAAGCGCAUAAUAAUGUGUGGCUUCGGGACGUACUGCAACUUUUAUGAACAGGAAAGGAUUUUUGCAUGAGAAUUGUCUUUUACUAUUGUUAUUGUUUGCUAGACAUUUGCACUUAAUUCUGUGAAAAGAAAGAAAACCGUUAGUUAUCAUUGCGUGUGAAAAUGAUAGUUUUUAUCUCUGAAUGUAAUUUCAACAUUGCUCUUGCAAGCAGCUAGCAACUGCAUUCUGCUGUAAUUAAGAAACACGUUGCUGGAUUAUUGAACAAUCAAAGGGGUGUUAAUAAAUAUGACGUGCACUGAAAGUCCAUGUACAAAUCCCAACUGUCCGGCUAAGAAAGACAGAUGUGUUGCUUCUGUACAAUCAUAUUGCCAUAAAGCACCGGAUUUGAAAAGCUGCUAUAUUUAACGGUGGUUUGAUGGUAGGUGGAAGCUGGAAGAGGAUGUUCCAUUUCUUUUUUUGCUAUUUCAAAUAGUCACACUUACUUUAAAAUACUUUGACUUCAUCUUCUUCAAACACUACGGAACCACGCUAUUCAACCUGUUCUGCCUCAGUCAGUCAGAACUUAAAGGAUUUUUAGGCCUGCCAGUGUUGUGUUGUGGUCUGAGAAACAGUGCUGGCUUUGCCUCCAGUUAAGUCUUUACUGAUUAUUUAAUAGAUCUAUGCAGCUAGGUUUUGAUUUCUCACUGUUCAAGCUGGUUUGGUGUUCCUACUAUAGUACGUUUAGCUGCAGGAUAGGGGAGCUGGGUUUUGUUGUUUUAUUGGUGUUUUUUUUCUGGUAGAGGCAAUAAUAUGUCUGUCUCUCAAGUAUCUGGUAAAUGGUUUUUCAAAGAGAUCUCAUUAUAGACACUAUUUGCUGAUUUUUUUUUUUUUUUUUUUUUUUGAGAAGGCAAGGUAUCUUUUUUUUUUCUUUUGAAGAUUUUUGGUUUAUUCUCACAUUGCUUCUUUCGACAUUUCAGUUGUCCAAAUGCAUAAAGAAGAAGAUUGCCUUUUCUGUGCAAGCCAGCCAGACCUGUUGGAAUGUAUCCACAGUUGUCUUUGUAUGAGUAUUAAAAAAGAUGGGUUUCAGACUAUCACAACACAGGGAAACUGAGUUUCAGCUUCUUUUUACAGAAUUAUCUUGCAUUGCCUGACUGUAUCACUCCUUUUCCAUACUUCUUUACAAGUUUUUAUUAUUUUGGGAGGCUCCCACUCUAACACACUUCCUUCUUUUCAUGAUAUUAAGGGAUUCUGAAUAUCAUGAAAUCCAAAUUAAACUCUAAAAAUGCACUUUGCAAGUGCAAUGAAUGUAAUAUCUACAGUAAAAGGUACAAACAUUGCCAGCACUUAGGAGACACUUCAGGUUAGACUUGUUCAGCCUCAGCAAUGUUAGAUCACUUGGUCAAAUGUAUUGCUGCAAAAGUUCCUGGACUUACUAAAUGUUUGUUGUUUAUUGCAUGGAGACGUAAUUGAGCUAAACCAAAAUAGCCUGACUGUAUGUUGAGUUGUUCUGCUGUGAAAUAUGAACUGCCUAUUUCAAGCACUGGGUCAGCACUGUAAGGUACAUUUGUUUCUUCUACAACACUAAACAUGUUGUCUCCUGUGUUUGUAUCAAAGGCCAUUUUUUGAAUGAAUCACCAGCCUCUAUUCAACUGUCCCUCGCGAGGUGACAAGUAUUUUUUAACCUGUGCUUCUAAUAACUGUUUAUUAUGCAGAAAGUACUUGAAGCCAUCGGUUUUAUUCUAAUUUUUUAAUCCUUUUUUUCUUAAAAGAUAAAUAAAAGUAGGUUUAUAUUUGGGAUUAUGUUUCUAAAUGAUUUUUCAUAUUUAUAUUGUAGUCCCUAAAGUCGGGUAACUGUUGUUUUGUUGCAGUUCCUCUGUGGUAUGGUGACGUUCCUUAAUGUAAUUUUGUGAUAUCAAAGGCAUUUAGACAAAAGCCUAGAUCUGCAUAGCUGGUGUUUUUCCCUUAGUACUCUGCUUUGGUGCAGUUCCUUGUAUGUCCACAGAACAGUCACCACAAGGGAAAAACUAAAAUCGGCAUUUAUAGAUAAGCAGAGGAGAACCAAAGGCUUUGAGUCUGUCCUGAGCCAUGGCUGUGCUUUCACACCAGGAGUAGCCAUGGCUGGGGCACACCAACAGCCUUAGAAGUCUUCAGGAAUGACUUCAGAGGGCAGCUGUGACAUAAAUACCAGCUACACUUUUUCAGUCAUUCAGAGAACUUUGUGAUGUCAUAAAGAGUACCAGAAACGUUCAGUCCAGGUCAUGGAGCAGGGAAAGAUUUCUAGCGUAUUUUGUAUCUGUGUUUGAUUAGAGUUGAAUUCUGAAAGUGAAAUACAAUGCAGUUGACCCUUACAAGUUUUCUGUCCGGCUGGAGCCAAACGUGUAACUAAUGUAAUGUGGGAAAUGUCCUGCAGAUCUGUAAUUCAUCCUCCUCUCCCGUGGGUUCAGAUUGAGCAGAAAUAAUCAUCAUCUUGUUAGCUCUAAAACGCUGCAUUGGCACUGCCUGGCUGCAUAAAGUAGGGGAGCCCAUGGACCAUGCCUCCUCUCCUUUCCGGGGUGAAGCUGCCAGCAAGAAACACAGGUGACUGGAAGAGGUUGGAUCACUGGCUGUUAGGUGAAGACAAGGAUAACGCCAGGGAGCAGGUCCCUGAAUGUUCCUUGAGGAGAGACAUCAAGACAAACCCACUGCAGGCCCUCCCCAUCCAUGGGGCUCUUGAUGCAUGUGCCACAAGGAGACAGAGGCCAAGGGCUAAGUCACUGGCCCACCCCAUCUGGGAGGACACAGUAGACCCUCAUUCGUCAUUUGGCUGUAUGCAAAGAGAUGCAUGUGAUAAAUCAAUCUGAGAGGAAGCGUGACCUUCCAAAGCAGGGAUGCUGCUAAAGAGGAUAUGGGCCUGCAGACUGUCAUGCAAGGAAGGAUAUUAGUGCAGACUCAGUCAAGAGAGAAAGCCAGACCACCACGCUCAGGCUUGGCUCUGCUGCAACCGCUUCUCGUGCUCCAGUGCUGCCUUGCUGACUCUUGGAUGCUGCCUGUGCAAGGGCCAGCACUGUGCAUGGACCUGCCUUGAUGCAGGUUAUCGGUGGUCGGUUCCUCUUUCAGCAAAUAGCUGUGGUGGAAAAGGACUGAUCUGUAAGUCUCUUGUUGUCCUCCUGUCCAUGCUUGGUGGGGAGACUGAAUAAAAUACAUUGGAUGCUGCAGGAAGACACAAAAUUUAAAUAAAUUCCCCUUCCUCCUCAGUAAUCAAAAUGUUUCUCCCCUAAGAGCCCCUUGAUUAAUCGAUCUCGCAACUGACAAAUCGAGGACGGGAAUUCAAAAUCCAAUUGAAAUGGAGGAAAACAACGUUAUGCACCAUCUGAUGCAGUCAGCGAUGUCACAGAAUGAAAUGACUGCAGAAAAAUAGGGGCUUGUGCUGGACGAGCCGUCAUUAAGAUGUGGCGAGGGUAUUAUUAAGUAAAACAACAUUGAUUUUGUUUGAAGGAUUUGGCCGUCCAUAUUAAAUAUCAUCUCAGUAAUGUGAUCUCAGUAGUUGCUUGAAAUGUCAGACUCACUUGGCUACAUCUGUUUGCUGGGGCUGCUGCCGGAAAAUGGAAAUGAAAAUUUCAUUCUUUAUCAGCCAUUGGUCUGCUUUAGCAACUUGAUAGGCUUCACCCUGAACGGGGCUGAAUUAGCAUAUGAGCUCACUACAGGGAAUAUAGGUAUGCCAGGAACGCUGGUGUAUAUAAAACAUGUGUGACAGUAACGAGAUGAGUAAUUUAUGCAGGCAGAAGCAGCCACCAUAGCGGGAUAUUUCAAAGCCAGGAACCUCUGUAAGCUCUGGGCUUUCAUGUGACGUGCACUAUGGAUCCAACACCGGUCCAGGUCUUCUGCUGCAUGAGUACAUGCAGUGCUGCUGGCUUCAGCUCCACGUUCCUGCUUUGAGAGAGCAUGGAGCCUGCAUCUCUGCACCCACACACACUGCUUCUGUCAGGUACCCAAAUCCCAGUGCCCUUGGUUCUGAGGGAGGUAGAAACACGUCUGUGUUCUAUGUGAGUCCUGCUGAAGGCAGCCCUUGGCUGAGGCAGCCUAUGAGGCCGCCUGUCGCUGCUGAGGACAUCUGUCUGUGUCUCUGGGAGAGGUGCUCAGCAUUGCCACCAGCUCAACCUGCCAAGAGGAAAGCAGCAGCCAUGUCCCAGCCUGGGCAGGGGUUGGGACUGGGUAGGUUGUUGCAUCCCUACCAACCAAGCCAUUCUAUGAUAUUUUCUAAGAAAAAAAAAAAAAAAAGAAAUAGGAGAAGAAAACGGAAAGAGGAUAAUUUUGUGUUUGUUGGGUGAGCCUGGUAGCCACAGAUCACAAAGGGGAAAAUAUGCAUGGAGAGUAAAACAAAGAAGCUUUUGUGUGAUGCCAGCAAUUUUUCUUUCCUUUUCUGAGAAAGGAGCUGUGUGAAUGUGAGGUGUGAGAUUUUGCUCUUUCAAAUGGCUGAGUCAAACACCAGCUCAAUUACAGAGAGCAGUGCAGGAAUAUGAAGGACACAGAAUAACCAUGUUUUGUCAUUCCUCCUGCAGACUCAACAUGUGUAGCGAGCGGGAAGAAGGGAAAAGAUUGUGAUAGAAUUCAGAUGGGAUUUGGAUAGAAGUUUUCAAAUGAAAUUUAAAGGUUAUUCUUAGACCCAAAUGCAGGGUGCUGCUCCAAGGCAUGAGCAGACUGGCAAACAAUCUGCAUUUUUCCACUUAAUAUUACUUCUAGGGAUGUGUUUACCACAUAAGCAGAAAGAAUUGCAAAUGUUGUACUGGGUACAUUGUCAAAAUCUUAACCUAAAGAUUUUCGUCUCUAUAACUGACCACUGAUACUAUUUUUUAUUUUGCAAAUGAGCAGUAGUCCAUGUGGCAAAAGCCAAAUGUAGAGGAGAAUACUAAGAAGUGGUUGUUGGCCACAGUGGCUGUUUUCCUUAGGGGUUUGGUGACCACCGGAGACAGACUGCUAGCAUCCCUAUCCGAGUGCUGCAAUAUGUGGUUGGUUUGGGGUUUUGCUGCCCUUGCAUUCACUCUCUCUUGCAAGUUUCCCCAGAUGCUGCCCUUCCUUCCAAGCAGCAAGGGAAGAAGGACACUGCCACCCUACACACUUCCCUUUGAGGCCACAUUUUGCUGUCCCGGCAUGUGCGCAUUGACUCCACCGCCGCCCUCCAUUGAGCUGUGCACUGAAUGAUGAUGAAGUGACAUCGUCAUGGCAACACGUGUUGACUUCCCGGUUGCAUAGCAACCUGAUGCAGGCUGAUGUAAGAGGUGUGCUUGUUUCCUCUGCUGGCUGCGCUCCUUUGAUGUGCCUACGAGAUUCGGGCUUGUUUUAGUCUAUUUUCUUUCAUUUUCUGGACAUGUUGUGACAUCAGUGUGAUGCUGUGUGUGUGCACAGAGGAAAAGAGAUAAAGCUUAUCUCCUUCAAACGCCCUCCUUGGGGCACUAAGAUACACAGCUCGUUUUUAGAGGCUCGAUGGUAUUCAAUCUUGUCAUUAUUUUGUGUAAUAUAGACUCGAGGAGACCGGAAGACACCGUUAAGUGAUUUUGUCUCAAGCUUCCCUCUUGAUUUUGCAUAGCCUUUUCCAAAUGCCCAAUAUCCUUGCAUGUGGGGCAGGUCUGCUUUUCGUGGCAUCACAGCUCAGUGUCACAGAGAAGCUGCAGGUCUGAUUUUUGUGCAGUCGGCUGGGUUUGCUGUUUCAUGGGGCAUCUGCAGUGAAGGAAGACUACUAAAUCCUUGUUUACAGUCAUCAGGUUGAAUUUUUGCACCCAACAGGAAAUGAUAAAAAUCUGCAAUGCCCUUCUUGCUGAAGGCUGUGUUUCUUUAUACUGAAGCAGAAGAAAGUUUGUCCAUGUAGAUCAAUGGAAGAUGGAGAAGCACUUCUGGUAAUGGCACGCGUGGCCCAGGGAGAGAAUUAGAAUAUCCUGAGUUGGAAAGGAGCUGGAGAGAUCACUGAGUCCAACUCCUGAAGCAGCAGGGUAUGAGACAGUCUGGAAGGGGAAAGGACAAUAUGCCCUUAUGGACCAGACUCUGUUUAGGGUACCACAGACGUAGGGACCACCAUGGGAAUGCCAGGACCUCCUCCGUCAGCCAUUUCAACUCAGAGAGGGGUGAAACGGGAGAUAAGGGCCUCCUGCAUACAGACCUGUGCCAAUAUCUUUCUGUACUACGUGAGGUGAUAAGACUGGGCACCUGGGGAUGAUACCUGUUGCAUCAUUCAUGAGCAGGCAUUGCCCUAACUGGUUUUGGAGAGAGAGUGCUUAGCAUGGGAACCUACUGGUGUCCAUUAAGGGGAGAAAGUCCCCACUCCCAUCAGAAAAUCCGUGUAUGCCCCGAUAACUCCAAAAUCUAAAUUCUGAUCACAGUAAAUACACAGUAAAUAGGAAAAAAAAAAACCCAAACGCUGUCAGGUUUCAUCAGUGUGGCAUCACCAGUGCUGUAAUGUAGUGGUUUCAGAGUCAAAGCACACCUGUAACCAAGUUUUCCUAUCGCCAGAUCCAGGAGAUGUAGAUGCAGAAAUCUGAAAGGAGAUCUUGAUCAUUUAUCAUGCCAAAGACAGGCUGAAUCUCUGUAUUCAUCAGUCCUCAAAUGUGUGGGGUGUUAUUUAGUGACGGCAGCCUCCAAACAGCUCUUCCACAUGACUGAUGGCAACAGAAAAUCAUCUGUCACUGCUUGGCUUCAGGCUCUUCCAGCAAAACCAUGUGUUUGCUCAAAGAAGAAAAAUACUUUGACAGAAUCUGUGGGAGGCUGUGAGGGCUCAAACCCGAAAAAGUUAUUGUUGGCCCUUGACAUGUGCUUGGGAGAGGCUGUGGCAGCCUUUAAAAGACCUCUUCAGUGUCACAGAGGUGACCAACUGGCUGGCACAGCUCUCCCACCUCUCACCCCAUGCCCUUCACCUCUCCUCUGUAAUUCUCUGUAAAGCAGAGAAUCUCUCUCAUUUCUUCUCUCAAAUUUCUUCUACCCCUGUAGGGGCAUUAACAAAUUGCAUUAUGAUUUCUUUCCUGUCCCCAUUUGGCCAAAACCCAUUUGGCCAUUUCACUUUUUGGAGGAACAGAAAUAUUUGUUAAGUAUGCCAUUGUUUUCACACUUAUUCCUGGGAACUAAAGCUCUGAACAGAGGAGCACGUGGACGUGUGGCACACUGUCCUGCUCACAGCCUUGGCGCUGCUGUCAGAUGAGCUGAACAAUCAAAGCCCCACAGAGGUGGGAGUGCUGACCUUACUUACAACAGCUCUUCUGCUGCCUAUUGUGCUUGGAUGAAACCACUUAUUCUUGUCUGCCUUUGCUUUGCAGCCCAUUCACAGGAAAACUGGGAGCACUGGGUCUGCUUCCCCACCAGGAGUGAAAAAAGCAGUGCUGGUGGAUGAUGCUUGCUGUUACUUUUCAGGGAAGGCAAUUGCUACUUUUUUUUUUUUUUUUUCUUUUUUUUCCAUCAAAUACUGAGACAACUACUCUGUUUAUAGAUUGAUCUGUUUGCUUCAGUUUUGUCUCCUUCGAUUGAUUUUCUGCAAGUCAGACAUGAGUGUUUUGGUGGAGAAGAAUGCUCUCCCAUGCGUUUGGCACCAUGCUUGUCCAGGAAACAAAGGAAAAUGAUUUUUUUCUGAGCAACUCCAUGUCCUUGCAGCCUUUUUGACAGCAGGCAAAAAUGUUCUGUGGCUUUCAUACUGGGACUUUCAUUGCACUUCCCAAUGUGUAAACGAAGCGGCAAGAAAAGCAUCUGAGCUGAUGUAAGACUGAGCAGUCUGCCAAGAGAGACAACUGCCCGUGUUAUGUCUUUGUGGACGGGUAUUGUCUGACCAGCUCCUGGACAGAUGUGCUGGAAAGAUCUCCAAGCAGUCUAGUAUGGCCUUUGCUUAUUGCUGGAGAGGGCUUUCUAGUAUUCAGUUUCUACCUUUCUUCAAACAGUUGGCAUCUUUUUUAAUCCCAGCUCAACCUAUCUUUCCCCAUCAGUCAUGUUUGGAAGAGCCAUGGUUAUUCUCAUUGCCCCGCAAUGGGCAGCACAAUAGGACCCCAGCCAGGGUCCUACCUCUUCUCUUGGUCCAAGGAAGCGCAUGGCCCUUUGCUGGUUUCCUGGAUCUACACUGAGCUCCACCACAGCCAAGGUAUCACGUUCCAGGUGCUCCCAAGAGGAUUUCACCUGAUGCAGGUUUCAGGAUGGACACCACACUGGGCUCCAGCCCUUUGCAGCUCAGUGAUGCUCUGGUGGCUGCCUGUCACAACUCUGAGGACAGGGCCAGGACAGGGCAGAUGCUGUGUGGGCUGUUAUGGCUCAGAGAUGCAACAGCUGACAGAGAUGUGUCAUGCUGCAAGAGGAAAUAAGGAAAUAAAAGCCCAAAACCAAAGGCAAAAACAAGCGGUAGUGAUUUGCCUCCAAAGUCGCUCAUUCCAACCGUGCUUGAAAAGUGCCUCUGCAUAACAUGUAGCGCUAUAUUUGUCUGCGAGGCAGGAAGAGAGGGAGAGAAAAUAUUUUUCCGUUGAGGUCAUUCUUGCUCACUUUUUCCUCUAAGAAAACCAACAUGCUCCCUCACCCUUGCUGUUGCCCACCAUGCUGCAGGCCCACAGCCCUGGGUUCCCCAUGAUAACAUCAGGCAGAGUCUUCAGAGCUCCAGUUUUCACAUCUCUUUGCAAUUUCUGUCCCAUCUUCUACCCCUGCAUCAAUCCCACUUACACUUCCAACCUCACUCCCAUCUGAAUGUCCAAGCAGGAAGAAGCAGUGAAAAGCCUCUGCCUGUGGCUGGUUCCCCAUGGUCCAGAGCAGUUAUAAGGGGAAAGCAUCAAAAGGGCGGUGCUGAAAAGGAAAAGGGACUGAAGUAGGAACAUGAAAAUAUUGAGCAGACCUCAGCUGGAACACCUCUUCUUCCCCUGCCCAGGGAGAUGUCCAAUCCUGCAAUGGAAGAAUUUCUCUAACGCUAUCCUUGAAACACUUUAAUGUUUUAGUGUAGGCAAGGUUUGGUUUUUCCUAUAGGGGGAUCACAGGAUCACAAAACUCUGAUUCAAGUCUUUUGUUUGUUUUUGGCUUGAAAUUACCCCCACAGCUGGAAGACUUUAAUAUUACCAUAGGAAAACUAAAUGGAACUACUGACAUUUCUUAAUUCCCUGGGUACCAAACUCAAAAAUGCAAAAUGGCAGCUGUGCAAUUCACGGAGAGCUGUUGUGUCUUUUCUUGCCUGGUUGUGGCUGUCAGAAAUGAAGAUUACUUCAUUUGAAGAGCCUUUAAGCUGUGCUUGAAACAAAGCAGGAAGAGCUGGCAGCCUGGAAGUGCUGCUGAUGGCUUCCUGCACUGAGAAGGGGGCACCACGGAGAAUGAGAAUGAGCUCCCUAUGAAGCACUUGUUUGCAGAGCCCACUCAUUGGCCAGUUUUCAUAGAAUCACAGAAUCAUUAAGGUUGGAAAGGACCACUAAGAUCAUCAUGUCCAACCACCAACAAAAUCCUGCUUCCUUAUCUGAACUUCUUCAUGCAGCAAAGCAUGUAAAAAAAUUGUAAAACUGUAAUCUCUAUUUCCAAAUGUAAGAAGUCUCUCGUGUUUAUUGUCUAUUUCAUAGAAUGGUUCGAGUUGGAAGAGACCCUUAAAGGCCAUCUAGUCCAACUGCCCUGCAGUAAGCAGGGACAC